GGUUAAGCGACUAAGCGUACACGGUGGAUGCCCUGGCAGUCAGAGGCGAUGAAGGACGUGCUAAUCUGCGAAAAGCGCCGGCGAGGUGAUAUGAACCUUUGACCCGGCGAUGUCCGAAUGGGGAAACCCAGUGUGUUCCGACACACUAUCGUUAACUGAAUACAUAGGUUAACGAGGCGAACCGGGGGAACUGAAACAUCUAAGUACCCCGAGGAAAAGAAAUCAACCGAGAUCCCCCAGUAGCGGCGAGCGAACGGGGAGCAGCCCGGAGUCUGAAUCAGCUUGUGUGUUAGUGGAACGGUCUGGAAAGUCCGACGGUACAGGGUGAUAGUCCCGUACACGAAAAUGCACAUGCUGUGAACUCGAAGAGUAGGGCGGGACACGUGGUAUCCUGUCUGAAUAUGGGGGGACCAUCCUCCAAGGCUAAAUACUCCUGACUGACCGAUAGUGAACCAGUACCGUGAGGGAAAGGCGAAAAGAACCCCGGCGAGGGGAGUGAAAAAGAACCUGAAACCGUGUACGUACAAGCAGUGGGAGCACCUUCGGGUGUGACUGCGUACCUUUUGUAUAAUGGGUCAGCGACUUAUAUUCUGUAGCAAGGUUAACCGUAUAGGGGAGCCGAAGGGAAACCGAGUCUUAACUGGGCGUUAAGUUGCAGGGUAUAGACCCGAAACCCGGUGAUCUAGCCAUGGGCAGGUUGAAGGUUGGGUAACACUAACUGGAGGACCGAACCGACUAAUGUUGAAAAAUUAGCGGAUGACCUGUGGCUGGGGGUGAAAGGCCAAUCAAACCGGGAGAUAGCUGGUUCUCCCCGAAAGCUAUUUAGGUAGCGCCUCGUGAACUCAUCUUCGGGGGUAGAGCACUGUUUCGGCUAGGGGGCCAUCCCGGCUUACCAACCCGAUGCAAACUACGAAUACCGAAGAAUGUUAUCACGGGAGACACACGGCGGGUGCUAACGUCCGUCGUGAAGAGGGAAACAACCCAGACCGCCAGCUAAGGUCCCAAAGUCAUGGUUAAGUGGGAAACGAUGUGGGAAGGCACAGACAGCCAGGAUGUUGGCUUAGAAGCAGCCAUCAUUUAAAGAAAGCGUAAUAGCUCACUGGUCGAGUCGGCCUGCGCGGAAGAUGUAACGGGGCUAAACCAUGCACCGAAGCUGCGGCAGCGACGCUUAUGCGUUGUUGGGUAGGGGAGCGUUCUGUAAGCCGUUGAAGGUGUGCUGUGAGGCAUGCUGGAGGUAUCAGAAGUGCGAAUGCUGACAUAAGUAACGAUAAAGCGGGUGAAAAGCCCGCUCGCCGGAAGACCAAGGGUUCCUGUCCAACGUUAAUCGGGGCAGGGUGAGUCGACCCCUAAGGCGAGGCCGAAAGGCGUAGUCGAUGGGAAACAGGUUAAUAUUCCUGUACUUGGUGUUACUGCGAAGGGGGGACGGAGAAGGCUAUGUCAGCCGGGCGACGGUUGUCCCGGUUUAAGCAUGUAGGCGGAGGUUCCAGGUAAAUCCGGUACCUUAUUAACGCUGAGGUGUGAUGACGAGGCACUACGGUGCUGAAGUGAUAAAUGCCCUGCUUCCAGGAAAAGCCUCUAAGCAUCAGGUAACACGAAAUCGUACCCCAAACCGACACAGGUGGUCAGGUAGAGAAUACCAAGGCGCUUGAGAGAACUCGGGUGAAGGAACUAGGCAAAAUGGUGCCGUAACUUCGGGAGAAGGCACGCUGAUAUGUAGGUGAAGCCCCUGCGGGCGGAGCUGAAAUCAGUCGAAGAUACCAGCUGGCUGCAACUGUUUAUUAAAAACACAGCACUGUGCAAACACGAAAGUGGACGUAUACGGUGUGACGCCUGCCCGGUGCCGGAAGGUUAAUUGAUGGGGUUAGCGGCAACGCGAAGCUCUUGAUCGAAGCCCCGGUAAACGGCGGCCGUAACUAUAACGGUCCUAAGGUAGCGAAAUUCCUUGUCGGGUAAGUUCCGACCUGCACGAAUGGCGUAAUGAUGGCCAGGCUGUCUCCACCCGAGACUCAGUGAAAUUGAACUCGCUGUGAAGAUGCAGUGUACCCGCGGCAAGACGGAAAGACCCCGUGAACCUUUACUAUAGCUUGACACUGAACACUGGUCCUUGAUGUGUAGGAUAGGUGGGAGGCUUUGAAGCGUGGACGCCAGUCUGCGUGGAGCCGCCCUUGAAAUACCACCCUUUAAUGGCUGGUGUUCUAACGUAGACCCGUGAUCCGGGUUGCGGACAGUGUCUGGUGGGUAGUUUGACUGGGGCGGUCUCCUCCCAAAGAGUAACGGAGGAGCACGAAGGUUGGCUAAUCCUGGUCGGACAUCAGGAGGUUAGUGCAAUGGCAUAAGCCAGCUUGACUGCGAGCGUGACGGCGCGAGCAGGUGCGAAAGCAGGUCAUAGUGAUCCGGUGGUUCUGAAUGGAAGGGCCAUCGCUCAACGGAUAAAAGGUACUCCGGGGAUAACAGGCUGAUACCGCCCAAGAGUUCAUAUCGACGGCGGUGUUUGGCACCUCGAUGUCGGCUCAUCACAUCCUGGGGCUGAAGUAGGUCCCAAGGGUAUGGCUGUUCGCCAUUUAAAGUGGUACGCGAGCUGGGUUUAGAACGUCGUGAGACAGUUCGGUCCCUAUCUGCCGUGGGCGCUGGAGAAUUGAGGGGGGCUGCUCCUAGUACGAGAGGACCGGAGUGGACGCAUCACUGGUGUUCGGGUUGUCAUGCCAAUGGCACUGCCCGGUAGCUAAAUGCGGAAGAGAUAAGUGCUGAAAGCAUCUAAGCACGAAACUUGCCCCGAGAUGAGUUCUCCCUGAGACUUUAAGUCUCCUGAAGGAACGUUGAAGACGACGACGUUGAUAGGUCGGGUGUGUAAGCGCAGCGAUGCGUUGAGCUAACCGAUACUAAUGAACCGUGAGGCUUAACCUU
rnacentral:rRNA from 1 species